rnacentral:rRNA from 1 species
GAUGAACGCUGGCGGCGUGCCUAAUACAUGCAAGUCGAGCGAACGGACGAGAAGCUUGCUUCUCUGAUGUUAGCGGCGGACGGGUGAGUAACACGUGGAUAACCUACCUAUAAGACUGGGAUAACUUCGGGAAACCGUAGCUAAUACCGGAUAAUAUUUUGAACCGCAUGGUUCAAAAGUGAAAGACGGUCUUGCUGUCACUUAUAGAUGGAUCCGCGCUGCAUUAGCUAGUUGGUAAGGUAACGGCUUACCAAGGCAACGAUGCAUAGCCGACCUGAGAGGGUGAUCGGCCACACUGGAACUGAGACACGGUACAGACUCCUACGGGAGGCAGCAGUAGGGAAUCUUCCGCAAUGGGCGAAAGCCUGACGGAGCAACGCCGCGUGAGUGAUGAAGGUCUUCGGAUAGUAAAACUCUGUUAUUAGGGAAGAACAUAUGUGUAAGUAACUGUGCACAUCUUGACGGUACCUAAGCAGAAAGCCACGGCUAACUACGUG